UGCGAAGGGGGCUAGCGUUGCUCGGAAUCACUGGGCGUAAAGGGUGCGUAGGCGGGUCUUUAAGUCAGGGGUGAAAUCCUGGAGCUCAACUCCAGAACUGCCUUUGAUACUGAAGAUCUUGAGUUCGGGAGAGGUGAGUGGAACUGCGAGUGUAGAGGUGAAAUUCGUAGAUAUUCGGAAGAACACCAGUGGCGAAGGCGGCUCACUGGACUGGUAUUGACGCUGAGGUGCGAAAGCGUGGGGAGCAAACAGG
rnacentral:rRNA from 1 species